rnacentral:rRNA from 1 species
AGAGUUUGAUUCUGGCUCAGGAUAAACGCUGGCGGCAUGCCUAACACAUGCAAGUCGAACGGGGUUUAUAUGAUGGAACUCUUCGGAGGGAAGACAUAUAAACCUAGUGGCGGACGGGUGAGUAACGCGUGGGGAACCUGCCCUGUACCGGGGGACAACAGCCAGAAAUGGCUGCUAAUACCGCAUAAUCCUGCGCUGCCGCAUGGCAGCGCAGGGAAAACUCCGGUGGUACAGGAUGGUCCCGCGUCUGAUUAGCUUGUUGGCGGGGUAACGGCCCACCAAGGCGACAAUCAGUAGCCGGCUUGAGAGAGCGGACGGCCACAUUGGGACUGAGACACGGCCCAGACUCCUGCGGGAGGCAGCAGUGGGGAAUAUUGCACAAUGGGGGGAACCCUGAUGCAGCAAUGCCGCGUGGGUGAAGAAGUACUUCGGUAUGUAAAGCCCUGUCAGCAGGGAAGAAAAUGACGGUACCUGACUAAGAAGCCCCGGCUAACUACGUGCCAGCAGCCGCGGUAAUACGUAGGGGGCGAGCGUUAUCCGGAUUUACUGGGUGUAAAGGGAGCGCAAGCGGCGUGGCAAGUCAAAUGUGAAAACCCGGGGCCCAACCCCGGGACUGCAUUUGAAACUGC